UAAUACAGAGGCCACAAGCGUUAAUCGGAAUCACUGGGCUUAAAGGGUGCGUAGGCGGACCGGCAAGCGUCUUGUGAAAUCCCACGGCUCAACCGUGGAACAGCAGGGCGAACUGCCGGUCUUGAGGAAGGUAGGGGCUGCCAGAACAGUAGGUGGAGCGGUGAAAUGCGUAGAGAUCUACUGGAAUGCCGAUGGUGAAGACGGGCAGCUGGGCCUUUCCUGACGCUGAGGCACGAAAGCGUGGGGAGCAAACAGGAUUAGAUACCCUGGUAGUCCACGCCGUAAACGAUGUACGCUAGAUCGGUGCAGGUCUGACCCUGUAUCGGUCGACGUGAAAACGAUAAGCGUACCGCCUGGGGAGUACGGUCGCAAGGCUA
rnacentral:rRNA from 1 species